rnacentral:misc_RNA from 1 species
UUUCCGUAGGUGGACCUGCGGAAGGAUCAUUAUUGUAUAACCGAGGUGCGAGGGCUGUCGCUGACCCGAAAGGUCGUGCACGCCCGAGUGCCCUCACACACAAUCAUCUCACCCCUAUGUGCACCACCGCGUGGGUCCCCCUUUGGCUUGUUCGGCGGGGGGCUUACGUUUUCACACAAACUUUGUAUGCAGUGUAGAAUGUAUUUUUUGUUUUUGCGAUCACGCAAUCAAUACAACUUUCAACAACGGAUCUCUUGGCUCUC